rnacentral:rRNA from 1 species
UACGAAGGGGGCUAGCGUUGUUCGGAUUUACUGGGCGUAAAGCGUGCGCAGGCGGUUCGUUGUGUCUGAUGUGAAAGCCCCGGGCUCAACCUGGGAAUGGCAUUUGAGACUGCAUAGCUAGGGUGCGGAAGAGGGAAGUGGAAUUUCCGGUGUAGCGGUGAAAUGCGUAGAUAUCGGAAGGAACAUCAGUGGCGAAAGCGACUUCCUGGACCAGUACCGACGUUCAGGCACGAAAGCGUGGGGAGCAAACAGG